rnacentral:lncRNA from 1 species
GAUAAUAAAGGAUGUUCAGAAACACUCGCAAAUCUGAUAGAAAGGUAACACCUGGAAAGUGAACUGACGACUGAUACACAGCUAAAAGAAUUAGCAUAUGCACUGCUAUUCAUCUCUAAUAGAACUUCUUGAACAAUUUGCAAAAUAAUAAAGCAUCUGCAUCACUGGACGGUAUCAAUUCGGUUGUACUCACGUUUUCCAUAGCAAUUGUUUACAGUAAUGUAGAAUGCAACUAGAUGCAAGUAGAGUAACAAAUACUCCUUCGGUUACAAAAUGUAAGGUCUAAAUUUGAACUUUGAUUGUAAGUUUAUCAUACAAUAUGUUGUUGAUAGUCACAAAAUCACAAUCAAAAGAAUCCUCUCCCAAACAAACCCAAUGGUUUCAAUUUUAUUUAACAUAACCCACGUAUUAUUGGAUGAACUGCAGGUCAAAGAACGAAUUCACAUUGUCAUACAAUGUUCUAGCCAAGUCCAUGAAUAUGAAGUAUUAUUUAUUUACCUGUGCAGAGAUCUCCUCCGCGGCGAACUGCUUGCCAAUUGCUGGGCAAUCGAGCUUGACGUUGCCGUUAUCGUCCCGGACAAGGAGGUAGGAAACCUGCUUGGACUCCUCGGCGACCUCGUUCAUCUUUCGGCCGAUGAACCUCUUGACGGAGAAGAAGGUGUUCUCCGGGUUGACCACCGCCUGCCUCUUGGCGAUCUGUCCCACCAGCCGGUCCCCGGCCUUGGUGUACGCCACGACCGACGGCGUGGUCCGCGCGCCCUCGGCGUUGGUGACGAUGGUGGGCUUGCCGCCCUCCAUCGCCGCGACCGCUGAGUUGGUGGUCCCGAGGUCGAUCCCCACCACCUUCUCGCAGGCGACGCGCAGUGGCCGCCACCGCCGCCCACCACGGCCGUACACCACCGCGGUCGUUCGGAGGUUGACGGAGGGGCGCCGGGUGCCGUGGUGGACGAAGAAGGGGGUCGAGGUGGGGAAGGCCGUGGUCGCCAUGGCUGAGAGCACGAGCAGUAACCCGGGGGGCAGGGGUUGGUGGGGGGCGAAACCCUAGAAGGGGCAGGAAGUCCAGUUGAAGGAAGGAGCUUGGUGGAUUCGCGUGGGUUUUGC